rnacentral:rRNA from 1 species
UGGGGAAUUGUUCACAAUGGGCGCAAGCCUGAUGACGCAACGCCGCGUGGGGGAUGAAGGUCUUCGGAUCGUAAACCCCUGUCGAAUGGGACGAAAGACUCGCGAGUGAAUACUUCGCGAGAGUGACGGUACCGUUAAAGGAAGCCACGGCUAACUCUGUGCCAGCAGCCGCGGUAAUACAGAGGUGGCAAGCGUUGUUCGGAAUUACUGGGCGUAAAGGGCGCGUAGGCGGCCCUCUAAGUCAGACGUGAAAUCCCCCGGCUUAACCUGGGAACUGCGUCUGAUACUGGAGGGCUUGAGUAUGGGAGAGGGAUGUAGAAUUCCAGGUGUAGCGGUGAAAUGCGUAGAUAUCUGGAGGAAUACCGGUGGCGAAGGCGGCAUCCUGGACCAUUACUGACGCUGAGGCACGAAAGCGUGGGGAGCAAACAGGAUUAGAUACCCCCGUAGUCCCUGAGCGGGCUGGCAAGGCGCAU